rnacentral:rRNA from 1 species
CCUACGGGAGGCAGCAGUGAGGAAUAUUGGUCAAUGGGCGCGAGACUGAACCAGCCAAGCAGCGUGAAGGAUGAAGGCCCUACGGGUUGUAAACUUCUUUUAUAAAGGAAUAAAGUGAGGCACGUGUGCCUUUUUGUGUGUACUUUAUGAAUAAGGAUCGGCUAACUCCGUGCCAGCAGCCGCGGUAAUACGGAGGAUCCGAGCGUUAUCCGGAUUUAUUGGGUUUAAAGGGAGCGUAGAUGGGUUGUUAAGUCAGUUGUGAAAGUUUGGGGCUCAACCGUAAAAUUGCAAUUGAUACUGGCAGUCUUGAGUACAAGUGAGGUAGGCGGAAUUCGUGGUGUAGCGGUGAAAUGCUUAGAUAUCGCGAAGAACUCCGAUUGCGAAGGCAGCUUGCUAAACUGACACUGACAUUGAGGCACGAAAGUGUGGGUAUCGAACAGGAUUAGAUACCCGAGUAGUC